rnacentral:lncRNA from 1 species
AAUUCACCACGAAAUACCCCAAAAUACAAAGCUUCUCACUCUCGUGAGGUUGUUCUUAUCUCGCUAAAAACACCUCCAAAUUAUAAUUACUCACAAGCAUGAACUUUCCCUAAUCACCACAAACUUUAAAGCCUCUAACCACUACUAUCAGCAUAGUGGCGUAAAGCAUACGUAAUAUUUAUAGCAAGUAUAAUUUAUUAUGUUUCAAUGAUUGAUAAACAAUGUUGAAGUUGAAAUGAGAAAUAAAAUUAAAAAUAAUUAUCAAUUAGAAAAUAAAAUAAAAAAU